UACGUAGGGUGCAAGCGUUGUCCGGAAUUAUUGGGCGUAAAGAGCUCGUAGGCGGUUCGUCGCGUCGGCUGUGAAAUCCCGGAGCUCAACUCCGGGUCUGCAGUCGAUACGGGCGGACUCGAGUUCGGCAGGGGAGACUGGAAUUCCUGGUGUAGCGGUGAAAUGCGCAGAUAUCAGGAGGAACACCAAUAGCGAAGGCAGCUCGCUGGGACGUUACUGACACUAAGGCGCGAAAGCGUGGGGAGCGAACAGG
rnacentral:rRNA from 1 species